rnacentral:rRNA from 1 species
GACGAACGCUGGCGGCGUGCUUAACACAUGCAAGUCGAACGGAAAGGCCCUGCGUUCGUGGGGUGCUCGAGUGGCGAACGGGUGAGUAACACGUGAGUAACCUGCCCUUGACUUUGGGAUAACUUCAGGAAACUGGGGCUAAUACCGGAUAGGAGCUCCUGCUGCAUGGUGGGGGUUGGAAAGUUUCGGCGGUUGGGGAUGGACGCGCGGCUUAUCAGCUUGUUGGUGGGGUAGUGGCUUACCAAGGCUUUGACGGGUAGCCGGCCUGAGAGGGUGACCGGCCACAUUGGGACUGAGAUAGGGCCCAGACUCCUACGGGAGGCAGAGGUGGGGAAUAUUGCACAAUGGGCGGAAGCCGGAUGCAGCAACGCCGCGUGCGGGAUGACGGCCUUCGGGUUGUAAACCGCUUUCGCCUGUGACGAAGCGUGAGUGACGGUAAUGGGUAAAGAAGCACCGGCUAACUACGUG